rnacentral:lncRNA from 1 species
UCACUGGCACCUGGAUCUUGGCACCAUCCAUUCCUGUGUGAAACUCUUUUAGUUCUAAGAAGUGAAUAUCAUUGCCAGCAAUCAGGAUAACAGACUAGAUAACAGGUUGAGAGUCCAGGUGUGAUAACAAUCCUGUAUUCAGAGGAGGUAACUUUUAUAGCACUAUAAAAAACUAAGGAAAUUACCAAAGCCUAUCCCUGAAAAGACUGUAACAAAACAGCCAUUUAGCACUGACUGGCUCCAGUGAUUCCAAAGGUCAGGCCACUAACAACUGUAGAGCCAUUCCUGGUUUCUGUGUGUUCUGUGUCACUGAGCCAGCCACUGCUGCUGCUGUUUAUGGGAUAGGCAAGAAGGUUGCUACCAAAGGAAAUGGUUUUGUCUUUCACCUAGGAGAUGGUUCUGUGGAUAUGUCCAUAGUCACUGUUAAAACGGAUCUUUGAAGUACAUUCUACAGUAAGGGACACCCAUUAAGCUGGAGAUUUUGAUGAGCAGAUGGUCAUCAUUUCAUGCAUGAGUGCAAGGUCAAGCAUAAGAACCUCAGUGAGAGCAAGAGGGCUGCAGGGCUUGUGACCGUGGUGUGUGCACCUUGUUCAGCACCCUCCAUGCCAGGAUGAGGCUGAUUCUGUCUGCAAAGGAAUCAACUCCUAUAUACACUUUCCUUACCCAUCCCCAAUUUGAAAGAACUGAAUGCUGGUUAGUCCAUAGUACCCUGGACCCUAUAGAGAAAGCUCUGCACAGAGCAACCUGGAUAAGUUGUAGAUCCAGGUAUCAUCAUAGGGG